AGGAGGAGGAGGAGACAGAUCUGAUCACGGAGGACGCUGCCUGGAAGGUUGUCAUGGAGCAUCUCCAGGGUGGAGGCAAGCUGGGUUCAGGAUGUGGCUGAGCAGAUCCAGUUCCUGCAUGCCAUCUCCCCCAUGUAUUUCACCGCACAGAAGAGCGGGCAGGACACUCUGGAGCCACCCUGCUCCAAAGCAGCCCUGGUGGAGAGGAUUGCAGAGCUGACUGAGGAGCUGCCCUUGGACUCUGCGCUCAGCUCCAUCCUCUCCAGCUCCCAGGCUCUGCACAAGACCAUGGCAGAGAAUCUGAAUAUAAUGCUGAGGAGCCUGCUGGCCAUGUCCCACAACACUGAUGUGGUAUAGCCAUUCACAGCAUACCAGACUGAGUUGGGGUGUGAGAGCCUCAAACCCCUGUGAGAUCCAGGGGAUGGUCCUGAGAGGAGAGUCAUUGGCUCCUCCCUAGGUCCUUGGGGAAUCAGACCUUCUCUCCCAUGGACACAGAGACUCUGGGAGGAUUGUCCAUUCUGUCACUACCUCCAUCCCUCCAAGCACUUCAGAGCUGGGAGGGGGUCAGGGGUCUUUCUCUUUCCUGACAAGCUGUUCUCAAGUCAGGGGACCAUAGAGGGUGGCACAAGUCCCGAGAGCGAACAUUAUUCAAGUCUACAGACAAUGAUGAACUGUGACCAGCAGGACACAGGCAGUGUCCUGGGUGCUGCAAACUCCUUCUAAAGCUCUAAGAUCAGUGAGUCCCGCCCAAACACAAUCUCAGCCCCAUGAAGACUCAUUUGUACAGAAUGUGUGCCUAUCUUUUGACCAUGACCUGCCUCCUUCCCACACAGCACAUUGGCUUCUGCGUAUGGUACAGAGAUACCCAGCAGUGUCACGGCCAUGAGGACCAGCACCGCCCUCCUCCGAUACACCAACCUACUCCCAGGAUUUGACAUAAGUGGCCUUUGACCCCUGACCCUAGGCAUAGGCAGUGCUGGCUCCAACAGGCUAUGGGAUCUGCAGCUGCAGGGGCUGUAGGCUGGGCUGGGCCCUGUGGGGAUGCAGUCAGGGAUGGGAAUCAGAUACACUUGAGGCAAGCUCCUCUUCUCCUGGCUAAGCGGUGCCCCCUGGGUCUUUAGAGGACUGUGCUCCACAGCUGCUCCAGCCUGCUUGUGCCUGGCCUUGGGCUCUUCUUGUCAUCCUGGAGCAGCUGGGGGAAUGAGUCCUCAUGCAGAGCCCUGCCCUGUGCUCCAGGUUCCCUUUGAAGGCAGAGGGAAUUAGGGCUCUAGCUCCUCUCCUAUGUGCCCCUGCACAGGGCAUGAGAGGAGAGAGACUCCUGGCCUAGAAGAGACUGGGAGCUGAAGGUGAAAUGCUCAUGGAUUCCCCUCUCCUCUUCCUUCCACUAGAACGAUCCGAGUUCCCCUGGAUGUGGCGCCUCAGGGCAUAGCUGGGUCUCUACAUCAUGGACCCAGCAAAGGAUAUCAGCCAGCAGGCCAGGGAUGAGAUCUACUGGCUGUACCAGCUGCUGCUGCCCUGGAGCAGCAAGCAAUCCCAGCGGUGCAUUGGGACGUUAUAGACAUGAGCCCCCCUCAUCUGAGACUGACCCCAGCUAGAUGAUGAGUUCAUCUCUUCCCUCUGCUUUAGGAGCGAAUGUGAGGAAAAGUGCUAAUGAAAUCAGGUCUCUUACCCCAGAGCCCAGCUCUGUCCCCCCACCCUGGAGAAAUGACCCCCCCUUGGGUCUGCCAGCUGGGCAGGGCGCAGGAGAGGAGCUGCUGGGAGACAUGGAGGGAAAGGAGCCAAAGUGAAGGGAGGGGUCAGUAGCUUGGGCCACAGGGUAGGGACAUCAGACUGGGGGUGGUGCAAGUUGGUACCGAGGGCCAGAGCCUGAUCCCGGUGGGAGGGGCAGGGUUCAGCAUUUGGCCCCAUCUUUAUAGGGAACCAAUCCCAGAGCCUAAAGACUGUAGGGGUCACAUGAUUCCUGUGAUGGACCCCCCUGGAUACUCCACCCCUGGAAGGAGCCCUGCUCUUUCAUUGGGCCACAGAUGCAGCAAAGGACUCGAUCACUGCACUGCCACCAAUGGGAAUGGAAGGAAACAGGCACCAAAACUGGAAUGACAAGUUGGACCCAUGUCUCUCUGUCCCCGAGGGCUGAGCAUCCAAGAGGCCAGAGAGCUGUGGAGCAAGGAUGGGCCCCAGGAGUCCCGGCUCCUGACCUACGUGAACACAGCCAAGGUGGGGCAGCUGAGGGCACUUAGCCAGGGAAUUGCAUGAGCUCAGCACAGGAGCUCCCUGCAGCAGCUGCAUCCUAGAUCCAGGACAAGAGUCUGCUACUUAUUCCCAGCUUGUGGAGUUCCUCUUUCAGCCCUGGGAGGGAAGCUAGUGCUGAAGUACCAGAGUUGGAGCCUUCCUAAUAGCUGAGGUUUGUGUGUUACAUGGAUUCACAGUUAUGUGGCAUAAAGACAGUCUCUGGGAGGGUGAGUUAACACAGUAUUGUAUCUCUAGGGUCUUGGGUCCCAGUGCUGUCUCCCUGGCGGAUACCUGAGUGUCAUUACUGCACCAUAGGAAAGGCUCAUGGGAAUGGGACCUGACAGAGUCACCUUGCCCUUGUCAGAUUGAAGUUUGGAUUCCCUGUGGAACAAACCCAUGAGCUGCAGAUGCCAGACCCAGUUACUGGAGAAAUCACUCAUGGGAGGACAUUCAAAUCUUGGGCUGUCAGCUCCAAAAGCCCCAGGCCUCUAGUGACUGAGCUCCAGGAGAUCUCACUCCUGGGAGCAGUGGUAAGUCCCAUAUGGUCUCUGUCAGCUACACUCGAGAGCAUGGCAUGCUCUCACACAGACACAUUCCUAAUAUGGCAUGGGCCUUGCAAUGAGUCCUGCUCCAGAAAGAGCCAUUAGAGCCUUUUGUAACCUCUGGGCCCAAGACCUGUCAGUGAAGGGUCUUCCCUGAAUCCUGGGACUCCAAAGGGCCUCCAGGAGAACUAGCUGCCUUGGCCACAGUGGAGCUCUACAUGUCCUGUAAGGAAGCUAUGGGGUGAUACCCUUCCAGCCUGAGGAUGUGGAGCUGAGCUCUGGGUGUACCCAGAGAAGGUUGUCCUGGGACCUGGACAAUGUUGUUUCCUGCAACACGUUUCAACAAUAACCAUAGGUAGAGAUCAUGUCUUUUGUACUUCACUGAUACCCUUUUCUGCUUUUCAACUCUACUUGUUCCAGGACAAACCAACCCUUCAUCUUCCAGACUCCUAAUUUCCUGCCAUAUGAUGGCAGAAUGAUAUGCAUGCUUUUCCCCCACCCCCACCAUUUUCUUAAGGGAAUCUCUCUAGAGCAGUGGAGAAAUGUCCUCUCCUCAUAGAACCAAGCCCUCACUAAUUCCACCAAUACUGGCCUCAUCUGAGCUGCUUUGUUUACCUGGGAGUGGGGUCAUCUUCAGAAAGUCCUUUGUGUGUGGAGGUGGGGGCAGUAGUUUUCCCUUAAGAAUACCACCCUUUCUUUCUAUGGUCUAUCUAGGGUUCACCAUCCAACAUGAAAACAAACACCUAAUGGGAGCUGAUAGAUUAUCUUUGUGUCAUAUCCUCUUGUGGGUUUGUGAUCGCCUGCUGCCCCUCCAGUGAGCAACUUUGUCACUUUGGAUGGGCUAUUACCAGCAGGAGAGUGAGUUUGUGUGUGUGUGUGUGGGGGGGGGGGGGCAGAGAGUGAGAAAACCUG